CGGACGGGUGAGUAACGCGUGGGUAACCUGCCUCAUACAGGGGAGUAACAGUUAGAAAUGACUGCUAAUACCGCAUAAGACCACAGCACCGCAUGGUGCAGGGGUAAAAGCUCCGGUGGUAUGAGAUGGACCCGCGUCUGAUUAGGUAGUUGGUGGGGUAACGGCCUACCAAGCCGACGAUCAGUAGCCGACCUGAGAGGGUGACCGGCCACAUUGGGACUGAGACACGGCCCAA
rnacentral:rRNA from 1 species